rfam:Camelus ferus unplaced genomic scaffold scaffold146, whole genome shotgun sequence.
GAGGGUAUAGCUCAGUGAUAGAGUGCGUGCUCAGUAUGCACGAGGUCCUGGGUUCAAUCCACUGUACCUCCA